rnacentral:lncRNA from 1 species
UUAGCUGAAACUACAUCAAGUCUUGUCUAAUCAGCUCGUCCCAAUACUUCUUCGAUCUACUCUACCUCUCUUGAAACCAUUCAUAGCCAAUCUCUGGCACCUCCACAUAGGGCAUCGGCUCCUCUCCUCUUUACAUGCCUGGACCAUCUCAGUCUCGCUUGCCGCAUCUUGUUCUUCAUCAAGGCCACUCAUACUUGAAUAUCUUCAUUUCUAAUCCUAUCUCUUA